GGACGUGUUUUAACUGUUUAAAAGAAAACCGAAAGUUUAAGAAUAAAGAUAUAAUUUAUCAGUGGCGACGAGGUAAAAAAAAGUUUAAGUUUCGCGUGUGAUUUUCGUUGCUGUUGCUGGACUGCGUUUUUUUUGUGUACGGGCGUUUGGCGGAGUUCUCCAGGAAGCCGAUUCUUCACGGGAGCCUAUUUUUGAUCGCCGGUCACAAGUGACGCUUAUAUGCAUCGGCUAAAUUUUGGCAUGCAAUUUAGGGGAUAGCAGGAUACAUCUGGACUAUAACUGAACUUUCGGUUUUCAACAAUUAUUGGAUUUUUGAAUUUUUCGCAAAACGAAGCAUCGAUAAAGGAACCGAUUUGGCUUGGCAAAAAUCAAGAGAAGAACGCACUGAGAAUAAAGGAAAUUAACAAUUAUGAUCAAUAGCAUUGGUUGUGAAGAUCUCGAUCGGAUCAGUCUUGGUCUCGGCCCACAAGGGGCAGAUUAAACUCCCAAAGAAGUCUGAACACAGGCGCAAUGUGGCGUUUCAGAUGGUGGACCAUACGGCGCGAACACUCAGUCGAGGCACGAAAAGGCGACAUGAGGAUUCCGAGGACGAAGAGCCGUUUCAUGGAUUUUCACCCGGCAUGGAAACGCUACUGCCAAACAGAAGUGAAGUACACCCACGAGUAUUUCAAUCGAAUACGCGGCAAAGUGCAGGAGUUUCAAAUGGCUCCACUCGAAGUAACAUUAAUGAAGGAUUGAGAAGAUCUACCAGAGCUGUGAAGAAAAGAUUUGAUGGAUGUUUUAUAUAUUUCAAGUGAUACUAUAUUUAACUUGAGUUCUGAAAUUCAUAUGUAGAAGAUAGAUUGUAAAA